rnacentral:rRNA from 1 species
GACGAACGCUGGCGGCGUGCUUAACACAUGCAAGUCGAACGGAAAGGCCCUGCUUUUGUGGGGUGCUCGAGUGGCGAACGGGUGAGUAACACGUGAGUAACCUGCCCUUGACUUUGGGAUAACUUCAGGAAACUGGGGCUAAUACCGGAUAGGAGCUCCUGCUGCAUGGUGGGGGUUGGAAAGUUUCGGCGGUUGGGGAUGGACUCGCGGCUUAUCAGCUUGUUGGUGGGGUAGUGGCUUACCAAGGCUUUGACGGGUAGCCGGCCUGAGAGGGUGACCGGCCACAAUGGGACUGAGAUACGGCCCAGACUCCUACGGGAGGCAGCAGUGGGGAAUAUUGCACAAUGGGCGGAAGCCUGAUGCAGCAACGCCGCGUGCGGGAUGACGGCCUUCGGGUGGUAAACCGCUUUCGCCUGUGACGAAGCGUGAGUGACGGUAAUGGGUAAAGAAGCACCGGCUAACUACGUG